UGUCUCUGUCGCACUCCCUAACGUUGAG
rnacentral:sRNA from 1 species